rnacentral:misc_RNA from 1 species
CUGCUGCGCCGUGCGGAGGAGUCCCAGCUGUGCCGUCGAACUCUCGCGUCCAGAGCCCCGUCGAGCCACCUUCGUUCGAGCUCGCCCCAAGGUCUGCGUCUACCCCCCUCUUCAUCGUCGUUGUGCGCGGCAUGUCAUGGCUGGGCAUUGGCUGACCUCUACUCUCCCCUGCGCGCCGCCUUGCUGCUCCGUUCUCGGUCAGCGAUCUCUGCCCGCCCCGGCAAGCCGCCUGCGCAGUCCCGCCGCGCUGCUCCGGCGAGUUCUGACACCACCGCCCUACCUCCCCGCCAGCCCAGCCCCCGCGCGCGAGCUCAGCCUUUGCGCGAGCUCCGUAUGGUUGCCGUCGUGCGUGACGAGAAAGAAACCGUCCAGAGCCUGCGAUCGUGCGUUUAG